rnacentral:rRNA from 1 species
CCUGUGCUUCAGGAUAGCGUCAGAAAACUUGUAACCAUCCGAAAGGGGCGGUAAUACUAUAAUACGGAUAUAAUGAUCAAAGAUUUAUCGCAUGAGCGCCAUUCAUCGCUGUGGUAGGUACGGUCACAGGCAUACGGUAGCGACUGAAGGUGCCCGCACAUCGACUGGACAUGCCCGACCUCACGAGGGCCGCAGAACGAAUAUUGCGCAAUGGGCGAAAGCCUGACGCAGCGACGCCGCGUGCGGGAUGAAGUCCUUCGGGAUGUAAACCGCUGACAGGGGUAAGAAAGUUCGCUUCGGCGGAUUGAUCUAACCCAAGGAAGUCACGGCUAACUUCGUGCCAGCAGCCGCGGUAAGACGAAGGUGGCUAGCGUUGUUCGGUGUCACUGGGCUUAAAGCGUGUGUAGGCGGAAAAGUAAGCGUCUUGUGAAAGCCCCCGGCUUAACCGGGGAACUGCUUGGCGAACUGCUUUUCUUGAGGCAAGUAGGGGCGCAUGGAACUCUUGGUGGAGCGGUGGAAUGCGUAGAUAUCAAGAGGAACGCCAAUGGAGAAAUCAGUGCACUGGGCUUGUCCUGACGCUGAGACACGAAAGCGUGGGGAGCGAACGGGAUUAGAUACCCCGGUAGUCACGCUGUAACGAUGUCUACUAGGUGCGGCAGUCUACGCUAUCGCGACGAGCAAAGUAUAGUGACGCGGGGAGUCGGUCCAGGCUAAAACUCAAAGGAAUCGACGGGGGCUCACACAAGCGGUGGAGCAUGUGGAUUAAUUCGAAGCAACGCGCAGAACCUUACCUGGGUUUGACAUGCUUGGAUGCCAGCCUGGAAACAGGGGAAGCUGCCUUCGGGUGAAACUUGCACAGGUG